rnacentral:rRNA from 1 species
UACGUAGGGUGCGAGCGUUGUCCGGAAUUAUUGGGCGUAAAGGGCUCGUAGGCGGUUUGUCGCGUCGGGAGUGAAAUCCACUGGCUUAACUGGUGGCUUGCUUUCGAUACGGGCAGACUGGAGGUAUGCAGGGGAGAACGGAAUUCCUGGUGUAGCGGUGAAAUGCGCAGAUAUCAGGAGGAACACCGAUGGCGAAGGCAGGUCUCUGGGCCAUAACUGACGCUGAGAAGCGAAAGCAUGGGGAGCGAACAGG